rnacentral:ncRNA from 1 species
GACGGGGUGCUCGCAAUCUUUCUCCAUUAGGAUUCUUACCCUUUCCUAAUCUGAUCGUGAGCACCUUAAA